UACGAAGGGUGCAAGCGUUACUCGGAAUUACUGGGCGUAAAGCGUGCGUAGGUGGUUCGUUAAGUCAGAUGUGAAAGCCCCGGGCUUAACCUGGGAACUGCGUUUGAAACUGGGAGACUUGAGUGUGGCAGAGGGGGGUGGAAUUCCACGUGUAGCAGUGAAAUGCGUAGAUAUGUGGAGGAACACCGAUGGCGAAGGCAGCCCCCUGGGAUAACACUGACGCUCAUGCACGAAAGCGUGGGGAGCAAACAGG
rnacentral:rRNA from 1 species